AUUAAACAAUAGAUCAGAUCUAUUACCUUGCAAGUUAGAUGUUCUAACCUUGCUGAUCUGGGCUUGAAGAUGAUGUUGCAAGCCGCAUAUGCAUCCGGCCUCUAGGAGUCAUCCACACGAGCCCACGAAUCUCGAUCAGAAGUCCUGCUUCAGGAAAUCAGCACAGUAUGCUAGUACUGCGCUGAUCUUUCUUUGAUGGUUGAUCAGGUGCCUCCUUCUUCUUGAUUUGGACUCUUUCAAAAAUAGAAAGUAGGAGGAGGAGUUUCAGAUCUGAGAUGCUCUCAGAAAACUCAAGAUGGAGGGAGGAAAGAUAUGAAAACAGACAACCCU
rnacentral:lncRNA from 1 species